CUCAUCCUUCCAUUACAGGGCAAGUCCCAAUGCUCCAAGGAGGGAGGUGUAUUAGACUGCCUAUAAGAACACUGACAGUCAUAAAGAUAAAAUAAGAGUGCUCUACGCACAUCCAGAGAAUGAAGUGCCUUUUCCAAUGGUGUUUCGGGCUCCUGAAAAAAGGUCAGGCAUUUCCUUGGCUCCAGAUGAGACUUCUUUCAGUUGAUGUUGAUGCCCAAAUCCUGCAGAAGCUGCACCAUCAAGUG